rnacentral:lncRNA from 1 species
AGCCUGAGUUAACUCUUUGUUUCCAUUCAUCUCUGCAGUGUGCCUUCCAGAACUACAGCUCUGCUCUGCUCUGCUCCAGACUUACCAAGGUCAUCAUCCAGGAAAAAUCACCAGAAAGAGGCCUGGGAGCCAGAGAGUUGGGCCCCAUGACUGGCAGAUGCUCACCACAUCGGCUGCUGGGACAGAGGCCAGCAGAGUGAAAAGGCAUGUGGAAUCCCAAUAGGCAAAAAGCAAUUUCCUGCACUGAGGCUUGGCUAAGAGACUGCAGUUUUACACCUCCCUGCAUAUUCAAAGGCUGGGGGGGCGGGGUUAAAGGCAAGACUUGAGCCUAAUGCUUCAUUUGCAGAGGCCCAGCAGCCAGAAGCCCUCAUACCCUGCCCAGGCUAGAAGUACUGCUUCUCCUCCCUAAGUGUCCAGGACCCCGCUGUGCUCCUGGAGGCAUAGGGACAAGGCCCCAACUCACUGUCUCCCAUGAGUCUCAGGGUCUCACACUAGGUGGCACAAUUUAGCUGUAGGUCUUCUUAAGCAAAAUUCUUCACACAUUUUUCCCCACUAAAGGGCUUGCCUAAAUCCCUGUUUCCAUUUAUCUCAGAAAGGGUGGGGAGAUGGGAAAAAGGAGAGAGACCUGCAGGAUCCUUUGUUGUGUCUUUGGCAUCAGAGGUAUGAGCUCCCCACUCUAUCCACCACUUCCUGGAGACCAUGUUUGAGACAUUGGCUUCUCCAUGAUGAGUCCACUUAGAAGAAAUUUCUGCUAAUGUGGGUCGACUAGAAGGACAUGAACUCCAGAGCUGGGUCCCCUCACUGCUUUGCCAUCCCAUGGCUUAACCCUUUCUAGUUUUGGUCAUCUUAGCAGAAAAAUGGAGAUAAAAUUCACAGAGCUGCCAAGAGAAUGGUUUUAGACCAUCAGACGUACACUAAGAAUGACAGAGAUUAAUAGUCUGGGAUCCACCCAGAGCCUUCAAGAAAUCUCCAGGUACACUUCAAAAGAAUGGCCGACUUGGAAAAGAAAUAAAAUUACAUCUUUACUUUCAUAAAAAUACCCAGCAACUCAUUUCAGGGUAAUGUUUGGAGCCAACCUUGAACCAUACGUGCUUCCAAAAAUGGCACUUACUUUUCAAUUUCAUCCUUAUAGGUGAAUGUUGUGGGUCCAACAUUUCAUGGGAACUUAAUAUGUUGAUUGAACUCUAAGCAUGUACCAUGUACCAUCUGCCUUGUACUACAGCUGCCCCUGUCCUCAUUCACAGUUUGCUUUCCAAGAUUUCAGUUGAUCUCAGUCCAAAAAUGUUACAUGGAAAAUUUCAAAAAUAAGCAAUUCAUAAGUUUUAAAUUGCAUGCCAUUCCAAUUAGCUUGAUGAAAUCUCAUGCGGUCCUUCUUCAACUCACCUGGAACAUGACUUGUCCCAUUGUUUAGUGCAUUCACUCUGUACCCAUCCGUUAGUCGUUUAGCCAUCUCAGUUAUCAGAUCUGCUGUUGUGGUAUUAUAGUGUUUCUGUUCCAGUAAUCCCUAUUUCACUUAAAGGGCAAGAGUAGUGAUGCACAGGAGGCACCAAGGCAUAAAAAUGUGAUGCUAUAUGGCAAAGCUGCAGGACGUAUAGGGGAAAAAAAACAUAUACAGGGUUCCAUACUAUCUGCAGUUUCAGGCAUUCACUAUAACCUUGGAUUGCAUCCUCCACAGAUAGGGCAGGACUAUUGUAACUAUAUUUAUCUUAUUUAAUCUUACCCCUUCAAAUAGUAAAUGUUACAUCAUUCUACAAAUAAGGACACUGAACUCAGAGAGGUUGCAACUUGCUCCCAGUCUUUUUCAUAGAAGGAAGAGGAAUGAAGCUUCUUUGGUUCUCUUUUCUCUGGGAUGGUCUGUAUGAGAGGUUGCCUUUAAAGAUGGC